rnacentral:rRNA from 1 species
AUACGUAGGGAGCAAACGUUGUCCGGAUUUAUUGGGCGUAAAGGGCUCGUAGGCGGUUCAACAAGUCGGUCGUGAAAGCCCGGGGCUCAACCCCGGGACGCCGGUCGAAACUGUUGUGACUAGAGUUCGGUAGAGGUGAGUGGAAUUCUCGGUGUAGCGGUGGAAUGCGCAGAUAUCGAGGGGGACAACAUUAGCGAAGGCGGCUCACUGGGCCGAUACUGACGCUGAGGAGCGAAAGCGUGGGGAGCAAACAGGAUUAGAAACCCGAGUAGUCC